CGCGACACGAGCGCGAGGCGGCGCUGUGGAGACUGGAGAUGGCGUUUGCAGGGAAAGCGGAGGUUGGACUGGAGCGUCGCCCAGUUCGCCGCAGCUCGUCCAUUCGAGCAGCGGGGUAGAACACGACCCUGCCUUUCCGGAGGCGUCCUUUCUAGCCCAGACUUUGCUCCCCGGAGCCUCACGCUGCCUCUCAUUACUUAGCCCCUGCUCGUUUUCUCCUUAAGUCUGUAUGUUCCGUAGCACCUUGUUCAGGAUGCCAACUCUUGUCGGUAAUAACUUAGUGUCUCACCUUGCCCAGCACCCUCUUUUGGCAAGUGAGCCCCGAGUUCCAAAGAGGAGAAAUGAUUCUCUAAGGCUGCGGAGCAAGUUGGAACCAGCUGAGGACGCCUCACGGGGUUGAAGUGGAGAAAGUACUUGUUGAGGCAUCAGAAUAUCUGCCGUGUCCUCACUAUGUGCCAGGCUCCCUGGUGGUCUGCAGCACCGGAGGCAAACUGACCCCUCUCAGAGAAUAUUGGAAGGCUAGCCCGUGGUCAGAUACAAAGAAGCUUAACCAAGAUCACUCUGGCUCCUGUUUGGAGGACUGGAUCAGAGUGAGACUAAGGACUGUGAAAGUUAUUCAGAGAAUGGAAGGGAGGAGGAGAGACAAAGAGAAACAUCGAUGUGAGAGACACACAUCCAUUUGUUGCCUCUCACAAGUGCCCCAAAAGGGGUGGGGACCAAGUGUGCAUCCAGAGAGAGUGGAAGAGAAGGGGAGAUACAGAGAGAGAAGCAUUGAUGUGAAAGAGACACAUUAAUUGAUUGCUUCCCACACCUACCCUGGCCUGACCCUGGACUGGGGAUGGAGCCUGUCACUGAGGUGUGUGUGUGUUCUUUAGAAUUUUCUACAUCUAUGAUCAUAUCAUCUGCAGAGAUCAUUUUAUCUCCCAACCCCCCAAAAGAAUUAAUUCUUUGUCAUUAUGUGAAGCUCUGACCUUAACUCUGAAAUUCAUUAAAUUUGUGUUUUCGGAGAAACUAAGAUGGCGGCAUAGAUAAACACCGGGAAAUUGCUGCUUCCCACAACAAUCGAUAAAUGCAUCAAAAACACAAGGUGGACAUCAUCCAGAACUACAGGAGGGCUGG